rnacentral:rRNA from 1 species
GAUGAACGCUGGCGGCGUGCCUAAUACAUGCAAGUCGAGCGAACAGACGAGGAGCUUGCUCCUCUGACGUUAGCGGCGGACGGGUGAGUAACACGUGGAUAACCUACCUAUAAGACUGGGAUAACUUCGGGAAACCGGAGCUAAUACCGGAUAAUAUAUUGAACCGCAUGGUUCAAUAGUGAAAGACGGUUUUGCUGUCACUUAUAGAUGGAUCCGCGCCGCAUUAGCUAGUUGGUAAGGUAACGGCUUACCAAGGCGACGAUGCGUAGCCGACCUGAGAGGGUGAUCGGCCACACUGGAACUGAGACACGGUCCAGACUCCUACGGGAGGCAGCAGUAGGGAAUCUUCCGCAAUGGGCGAAAGCCUGACGGAGCAACGCCGCGUGAGUGAUGAAGGUCUUCGGAUCGUAAAACUCUGUUAUUAGGGAAGAACAAAUGUGUAAGUAACUAUGCACGUCUUGACGGUACCUAAUCAGAAAGCCACGGCUAUCUACGUG